AUUUUUAGCGCUGAAACAGGCUCAAACCCAAUGGACAUUAAAAUAAGACGAAAACAAUUAACUAAGAGCGGUAUAAAGGAAUUUGGAAAAAUGAGGUCACGCGGUAUUUCAUUUGAAAAGUUUUUAUUAUACUUCUUAUGACGCUGGCCUUGGGCCAUGCCAUAUAAAAAAUGUCUAGCGAAAUGCAGGCAAGCAAGCAAGAGUACCUGGUAGAACAGGUUGAUAGUAUAACUGCUUUCUGGAGUUGCGUAGAAAGGGCAUUCUGCAGUCCGACGGCUUCCAGAUUCCGUGCCAGCUUCGUUGGAAUUUCGCCCGGCGCUUCAAUUAUAAUGGGAACAGUCUUGAUCGUUCUUGCACCCCAGUUACCAGGACUUCGUUAGCUGCGGGGCAGCAAGACUACGUCAAGCGUUCCCCUCCAAACCCGAUCGAGCAAUGUUCGCUGCAUCCAAGAGUGCUGACUUCUGCAUCAUACGGUAAGUAUUGCAAUUUAGACCCAGUCUAAUUAAGUUUGUUUUCAGGUCCGUCGGUACAACAUCCAUGCUGGAUAUGAUCAAUUGACGACCUACAC